CAAACAGACCGAAGCGAGAUUCCAUAUGACACAUGUCAUCUAGGAGUUCCAUUGGGUGCGUCCAAAAUGAUUUCUUAACAUAUGGUACGUUCCAUGCAAAAUGUGCAACUAUCUUGCAUCAAGAUUAGCACUGUAUCCGAACAGACCAAAUCGAGCCUCCACUUGAGCCUCUUCAACUCAGAGUACCAUCGGGUGCGUCUAAAAUGGUUUCUUAGCCUAUGGUGCAUUAGGCGUAUACCGUGCACAUAUCUUCUACCAAAACUAACACUAUCUCUAAACAAACUGAAGCAAGAUUCCAUAUGAGACACAUCAUCAAGGAGUUAUAUCAGGUGCGUCCUAAUUGAUUUCUAAGCAUAUCGUAUGUUCCAUGCAAACCGUGCAUCUAUCUUGCAUCAAGAUUAGCACUAUCUCCAAACAGACCAAAUCGAGCUUUCACUUGUGCCCCUUGACUUAGGAGUACCCUCAGGUGCGUCCAAAAUGGUUUCUUAUCCUAUGGUUCAUUAUUUGGAAACCAUACACCUAUGUUGCACUGAAACUAACACUAUCUCUAAACGGACCGAAGUAAGAUUCCAUAUGACACAUGUCAUCUAGGCGUUCCAUAUAGUGUGUCCAAUUUGAUUUCUGAGCAUAUGGUAUGUUCCAUGCAAAUCGUGCACCUAUCUUGCAUCAAGAUUAGCACUAUCUCUAAACAGAUAAAACCGAGCCUCCACUUGAGCCUCUUCACCUAGGAGUACCAACAGGUGCUUCCAAAAUGGUUUGUUAGACUUUGGUGCAUUAGACGCAAACCGUGCACAUAUCUUGCACCAAAACUAAUACUGUCUCUAAGCACACCAAACCGAGAUUCCAUAUGACACACGUCAUCAAGGAGUUCUAUCGGGUGUUUCCAAAUUAAAUUCUAAGCAUAUGGUACGUUCCAUGCAGACCGUGCAUCUGUCUUGCAUCAAGAUUAGCACUAUCUCCAAAUAGACCAAACUGAGCUUUCACUUGAGCCUUUUACCUAGGAGUACGAUCGGGUGCGUCCAAAAUGGUUUCUUAGCCUAUGCUGCAUUAUGUGCAAACCUUGCACCUAUCUUGCACUAAAACUAACACUGUCUCCAAACAGACCGAAGCAAGAUUUCGUAUGACACAUGUUAUCUAGGAGUUCCAUCAUGUGCGUCCACAUUGAUUUCCAAGCAUUUGGUAUGUUCCAUGCAAACCGUGCACCUAUCUUGCAUCAAGAUUAGCACUAUCUCCAAACAGACCGAACUGAGCAUCCACUUGAGCCCCUUCACCUAGGAGUACCAACAGGUGCGUCUAAAAUGGUUUCUUAGACUAUGGUGCAUUAGGUAUAAACUGUGCACCUAUCUUGCACCGAAACUAACAAUGUCUCCAAAUGGAACGGUGAGAUUCCAUAUGACACACGUCAUCAAGGAGUUGCAUCGGGUGCAUCCAAAUUGAUUUCCAAGCAUAUGGUAUGCAGGGGCCACAUAGGGGGGGCCGUGCAAACCAAAAACAAUCAUGUGUAUCAAAAUAUUAUAUGACAAAGGUGUACAUAGCACCAAUUAAUUAAAAAGUAGAAAAAAUAAAAAAAAGAGAAAUUUAACUAGUCUCAGGCCUCUAACCUUCACUUGAUCAUUCUAUUUCUUUGCCCAAGAAAAGAAUCACAAUAAAAACAAGUAGUUAAAUGGGGGCAAAAUUAAUUAGUACUAGAUCCUAAUAUCAAAUGACAAACAAUAAGUUACAUAUCGAUUAGUCUUAGACAAAACGAUCACUUAAACAGGUAAAAAUGGUCAUUUAAAUAGAAGAUUAAAGAGAAACACCAUACCACUGUUAUUGUUUUAAAGUUGAGUAUAACGGGCUAAAUGAUUGUUUAGAGUUUAGACGAAUAAUGAUAGAAACAUAGGAGAUAAGAAAGAUAAUAGGAAGACUAAUGCUAAAUAAUAUAGAUCCCAUUGUUGGAGAUCAAUUCAGAAGGAUUAAACAAGAAAAAUGCUGAUUUUCAAUUAACUAGCUAAUUAGAGUGUGUGGUAGGGGACAAACUGAUGUUUGAUAGGCAAUAAUAAAAAUAAAAGAUAUGAAGAAAAUAUUAGAAAUAUCUAUUUAUAUAAAAAACUAUUAGAAAUUAAUAUAAAAUAAAAAUAAAAAUCUUAGUACAGAUAAUAUCAUUAACUAGCUAAUUAGAUAAUUAAACAUCUAAUCUAUGAGGUGUAUUAAGGGAGUUAUGGGAAGCUUGGGGGGUGCCAGGCCCCCCUCAGCCCCCCCUUCCCUUCGCCACUGAUGGUAUGCUCCAUGCAAACCAUGCACCUACCUUGCAUAAGGAUUAGCACUAUCUCCAAACUGACCGAACCAAACUUCCACUUGAGCCUCUUCACCCAGGAGUACCAAAUGGUGCGUCUAUGGUUUCUUAGACUAUGGUGCGUUAGGCGCAAACUGUGCACCUAUCUUGCACUAAAACUUACAAUGUCUACAAACAGACCAAAGCAAGAUUCCAUAUGACACACGUCAUCUAGGAGUUCCAUUGGGUGCGUCCAAAUUGAUUUCUAACCAUAUGGUACGUUCCUUGCAAAUCAUGCACCUAUCUUGCAUCAAGAUUAGCACUAUCUCCAAACAGAUGAAACCGAGCUCCCACUUGAUCCUCUUCACCGAAGUACCAACAGGUGCUUCCAAAAUGGUUUCUUAGACUAUGGUGCAUUAGGCGCAAACCAUGCACAGAACUUGCACCGAAACUAACACUAUUUCUAAACAGACCAAAGCGAGAUUCCAUAUGACACACGUCAUUAAGGAGUUCCAUCGGGUGCAUCCAAAUUGAUUUCCAAGCAUAUGGUCUGUUCCAUGCAAACCGUGCAGCUAUCUUGCAUCAAGAUUAGCACUAUCUCCAAAUAGACCGAACCGAGCUUCCAGUUGAGCCUCUUCAUCUAGGAGUACAAACAGGUGCGUCAAAAAUGGUUUCUUAGACUAUGGUGCAUUAGGCACAAACUAUGCACCUAUCUUGCACCGAAACUAACAUUCUCUCCAACAGACCGAAGCGACAUUCCAUAUGACACACGUCAUCUAAGAGUUCCAUUGGGUGCGUCCAAAUUGAUUUCUUAACAUAUAGUACGUUCCAUGCAAACUGUACAACUAUCUUGCAUCAAGAUUAGCACUAUAUCCGAAUAGACCAAAUCGAGCCUCCACUUGAGCCUCUCCAACUACGAGUACCAUCGGGUGCGUCUAAAAUGGUUUCUUAGCCUAUGGUGCAGUAGGCGUAAACCGUGCACAUAUCUUCUAUCAAAACUAACACUAUCUCUAAACAAACCAAAGCAAGAUUCCAUAUGACACACAUCAUCAAGGAGUUAUAUCAGGUGCGUCCUAAUUGAUUUCUUAACAUAUCGUAUGUCCCAUGCAAACCGAGCAUCUAUCUUGCAUCAAGAUUAGCACUAUCUCCAAACAGACUGAACCGAGCUUCCACUUGAGCCCCUUGACCUAGGAGUACAAACAGGUGCGUCCAAAAUGGUUUCAUAGCCUAUGCUGCAUUAUGUGCAAACCUUGCACCUAUCUUGCACUGAAACUAACAGUCUCCAAACAGACCAAAGCAAGAUUUCAUAUGACACACGUCAUCUAGGAGUUCCAUCAUGUGCGUCCAGAUUGAUUUCCAAGCAUUUGGUAUGUUCCAUUCAAACCGUGCACCUAUCUUGCAUCAAGAUUAGCACUAUCUCCAAAAAGACCGAACUGAGCAUCCACUUGAGCCCCUUCACCAAGGAGUACCAACCAUGCACAUAUCUUCUACCAAACUAACACUAUCUCUAAAUGAACCGAAGCAAGAUUCCAUAUGACACACAUCAUCAAGGAGUUAUAUCAGGUGUGUCCUAAUUGAUUUAUGAGCAUAUCGUAUGUUCCAUGCAAACCGUGCAUCUAUCUUGCAUCAAGAUUAGCACUAUCUCCAAACAGACCAAACCGAGCUUUCACUUGAGCCCAUUGACCUAGGAGUACCAUCGGGUGCGUCCAAAAUGGUUUCUUAUCCUAUGGUGCAUUAGGUGCAAACCGUGCACCUAUCUUGCACCGAAACUAACACUAUCUCUAAAUGGACCGAAGUGAGAUUCCAUAUGACACAUGUCAUCUAGGAGUUCCAUUUUGUGCGUCCAAAUUGAUUCCUGAGCAUAUGGUAUGUUCCAUGCAAAUCAUGCACCUAUCUUGCAUCAAGAUUAGAACUAUCUCUAAACAGACCGAAUCGAGCCUCCACUUGAGCCUCUUCACCUAGGAGUACCAACAGGUGCUUCCAAAAUGGUUUCUUAGGUGCAUUAGGCGCAAACCAUGCACAUAUCUUGCACCGAAACUAAUACCGUCUCUAAGCACACCAAAGCGAGAUUCCAUGACACACGUCAUCAAGGAGUUCUAUCGGGUGUGUCCAAAUUAAUUUCUAAGCAUAUGGUACGUUCCAUGCAGACCGUGCAUCUAUCUUGCAUCAAGAUUAGCACUAUCUCCAAAUAGACUAAACCAAGCUUUCACUUGAGCCUUUUACCUAGGAGUACCAUUGGGUGCGUCCAAAAUGGUUUCAUAGCCUAUGUUGCAUUAUGUGCAAACCUUGCACCUAUCUUGCACCGAAACUAACACACUCUCCAAACAGACCAAAGCAAGAUUUCAUAUGACACACAUCAUCUAGGAGUUCCAUCAUGUGCGUCCAGAUUGAUUUCUAAGCAUUUGGUAUGUUCCAUUCAAACCGUGCACCUAGCUUGCAUCAAGAUUAGCACUAUCUCCAAACUGACCGAGACGAGAUCCACUUGAGCCCCUUCACCUAGGAGUACCAACAAGUGCAUCCAAAAUGGUUUCUAAGACUAUGGUGCAUUAGGUGCAAACUGUGCACCUAUCUUGCACCGAAACUAACAAUGUCUCCAAAUGGACCAAAGCGAGAUUCCAUAUGACACACAUCAUCAAGGAGUUCCAUCGGGUGCGUCCAAAUUGAUUUCCAAGCAUAUGGUAUGUUCCAUGCAAACCAUGCACCUACCUUGCAUAAGGAUUAGCACUAUCUCCAAAUUGACCGAACCAAGCUUCCACUUGAGCCUCUUCACCAAGGAGUACCAAAUAGUGCGUCCAAAAUGGUUUCUUAGACUAUGGUGCAUUAGGCGCAAUCUGUGCACCUAUCUUGCACUAAAACUUACAAUGUCUACAAACGGACCGAAGCAAGAUUCCAUAUGACACACGUCAUCUAGGAGUUCCAUUGGGUGCAUCCAAAUUGAUUUCUAAGCAUAUGGUACGUUCCUUGCAAAUCAUGCACCUAUGUUGCAUCAAGAUUAGCACUAUCUCCAAACAGUUCAAACCGAGCUUCCACUUGAGCCACUUCACCAAAGUACCAACAGGUGCUUCCAAAAUGGUUUCUUAGACUAUGGUGCAUUAGUCGCAAACCAUGCACAUAUCUUGCACCAAAACUAACACUGUUUCUAAACAGACCAAAGGGAGAUUCCAUAAGACACACGUCAUUAAGGAGUUCCAUCGGGUGCAUCCAAAUUGAUUUCCAAGCAUAUGGUAAGUUCCAUGCAAACCGUGCACCUGUCUUGCAUCAAGAUUAGCACUAUCUCCAAACAGAUCAAACCGAGCUUCCACUUGAGCCUCUUCACCGAAGUACCAACAGGUGCUUCCAAAAUGGUUUCUUAGACUAUGGUGCAUUUGGGGCAAACCAUGCACAUAUCUUGCACCAAAACUAACAUUGUUUCUAAAUAGACUAAAGUGAGAUUCCAUAUGACACAAGUCAUCAAGGAGUUCCAUCGGGUGCAUCCAGAUUGAUUUCCAAGCAUAUGGUAUGUUCCAUGCAAACCGUGCACCUAUCUUGCAUCAAGAUUAGCACUAUCUCCAAACAGACCGAACUAAGCAUCCACUUGAGCCCCUUCACCUAGGAGUACCAAUAGGUGCGUCCAAAAUGGUUUCUUAGACCAUGGUGCAUUAGGUGCAAACUGUGCACCUAUCUUGCACCGAAAUUAACAAUGUCUCCAAAUGGAACGGUGAGAUUCCAUAUGACACACGUCAUCAAGGAGUUCCAUCGGGUGCGUCCAAAUUGAUUUCCAAGCAUAUGGUAUGUUCUAUGCAAACCAUGCACCAACCUUACAUAAGGAUUAGCACUAUCUCCAAACUGACCGAACCAAGCUUCCACUUGAGGCUCUUCACCCAGGAGUACCAAAUAGUGCGUCUAUGGUUUCUUAGACUAUGGUGCAUUAGGCGCAAACUGUGCACCUAUCUUGCACUAAAACUUACAAUGUCUACAAAUAGACCAAAGCAAGAUUCCAUAUGACACACGUCAUCUAGGAGUUCCAUUGGGUGUGUCCAAAUUGAUUUCUAAGCAUAUGGUAUGUUCCUUGCAAAUCAUGCACCUAUCUUGCAUCAAGAUUAGCACUAUCUCCAAACAGAUCAAACCGAGCUUCCACUUGAGCCUCUUCACCGAAGUACCAACAGGUGCUUCCAAAAUGGUUUCUUAGACUAUGGUGCAUUAGGGGCAAACCAUGCACAUAUGUUGCACCAAAACUAACAUUGUUUCUAAAUAGAUAAAGUGAGAUUCCAUAUGACACAAGUCAUCAAGGAGUUCCAUCGGGUGCAUCCAGAUUGAUUCCCAAGCAUAUGGUAUGUUCCAUGCAAACCGUGCACCUAUCUUGCAUCAAGAUUAACACUAUCUCCAAUGCACCAAAUCGAGCCUCCACUUGAGCCUCUUCAACUACGAGUACCAUCGGGUGCGUCUAAAAUGGUUUCUUAGCCUAUGGUGCAUUAGGCGUAAACCGUGCACAUAUCUUCUACCAAAACUAACAUUGUCUCUAAACGAAUCGAAGCAAUAUUCCAUAUGACACACAUCAUCAAGGAGUUAUAUCAGGUGUGUCCUAUUUGAUUUCUGAGCAUAUCGUAUGUUCCAUGCAAACCGUGCAUCUAUCUUGCAUCAAGAUUAGCACUACCACCAAAAAGACCAAACCGAGCUUUCACUUGAGCCCCUUGACCUAGGAGUACCAUCGGGUGCGUCCAAAAUGGUUUCUUAUCCAAUGUGUAUUAGGUGCAAACCGUGCAAUUAUCUUGCACCGAAACUAACACAGUCUCUAAACGGACCGAAGUGAGACUCCAUGUGACACAUGUCAUUUAGGAGUUCCAUCUAGUGCGUCCAAAUUGAUUUCUGAGCAUAUGGUAUGUUCCAUGCAAAUAGUGCACCUAUCUUGCAUCAAGAUUAGCACUAUCUCUAAAUAGACCGAACCAAGCCUCCACUUGAGCCCCUUCACCUAGGAGUACCAUCAGGUGCUUCCAAAAUGGUUUCUUGGACUUUAGUGCAUUAGGCGCAAACCGUGCACAUAUCUUGCAACGAAACUAAUACUAUCUCUAAGAACACCAAAGCGAGAUUCCAUAUGACACACAUCAUCAAGGAGUUCUAUCGGGUGUGUCCAAAUUAAUUUCUAAGCAUAUGGUACGUUCCAUGCAGACCGUGCAUCUAUCUUGCAUCAAGAUUAGCACUAUCUCCAAACAGAUCAAACCGAGCUUCCACUUGAGCCUCUUCACCGAAGUACCAACAGGCGCUUACCAUAAGGCCCUGAACCGUAUUGUGCAUUAGGCGCAAACCAUGCACAUAUCUUGCACCGAAACUAACACUGUUUCUAAACAGACGAAAGCGAGAUUCCAUAUGAUACACAUCAACAAGGAGUUCCAUCGGGUGCAUCCAAAUUGAUUUCCAAGCAUAUGGUAUGUUCUAUGCAAACCGUGCACCUAUCUUGCAUCAAGAUUAGCACUAUCUCCAAACAGACCGAACCGAGCUUCCACUUGAGCCUCUUCAUCUAGGAGUACAAACAGUUGCGUCAAAAAUGGUUUCUUAGACUAUGGUGCAUUAGGCACAAACUAUGCACCUAUCUUGCACCGAAACUAACAUUGUCUCCAAACAGACCGAAGCAAGAUUCCAUAUGACACACGUCAUCUAGGAGUUCCUUUGGGUGUGUCCAAAUUGAUUUCUUACCAUACGGUACGUUCCAUGCAAACUAUGCAACUAUGUUGCAUCAAGAUUAGAACUAUAUCCGAACAGAACAAAUCGAGCCUCCACUUGAGCCUCUUCAACUAAGAGUACCAUCAGGUGUGUUUAAAAUGGUUUCUUAGCCAAUGGUGCAUUAGGCGUAAACCGUGCACAUAUCUUCUAUCAAAGCUAACACUGUCUCUAAACGAAUCGAUGCAAGAUUCCGUAUGACACACAUCAUCAAGGAGUUAUAUCAGGUGCGUCCUAAUUGAUUUCUGAGCAUAUCGUAUGUUCCAUGCAAACCGUGCAUCUAUCUUGCAUCAAGAUUAACACUAUCUCCAAACAGACCAAACCGAGCUUUCACUUGAGCCCCUUGACCUAGGAGUACCAUCGGGUGCGCCAAAAUGGUUUCUUAUCCUAUGGUCCAUUAGGUACAAACCGUGCACCUAUCUUGCACAGAAACUAACACAGUCUCUAAACGGACCGAAGUGAGAUUCCAUAUGACACAUGUCAUGUAGGAGUUCCAUCUGGUGCAUCCAAAUUGAUUUCUGAGCAUAUGGUAUGUUCCAUGCAAAUCGUGCACCUAUCUUGCAUCAACAUUAGCACUAUCUCUAAACAGACCGAACAAAGCCUCCACUUGAGGCUCUUCACCUAGGAGUACCAACAUGUGCUUCCAAAAUGGUUUCUUAGAGUUUGGAGCAUUAGGCGCAAACUGUGCACAUAUCUUGCACCGAAACUAAUACUAUCUCUAAGCACACGAAAGCGAGAUUCCAUAUGACACACGUCAUCUAGGAGUUCUAUCGGGUGUGUCCAAAUUAAUUUCUAAGCAUAUGGUACGUUCCAUGCAGACCGUGCAUCUAUCUUGCAUCAAGAUUAGCACUAUCUCCAAACAGAUCAAACCGAGCUUCCACUUGAGCCUCUUCACCGAAGUACCAACAGGUGCUUCUAAAAUGGAUUCUUAGACUAUGGUGCAUUAGGCGCAAACCAUGCACAUAUCUUGCACCGAAACUAACACUGUUUCUAAACAGACCAAAGAGAGAUUCCAUAUGAUACACAUCAUCAAGGAGUUCCAUCGGGUGCAACCAAAUUGAUUUCCAAGCAUAUGGUAUGUUCCAUGCACCUACCUUGCAUCAAGAUUAGCACUAUCUCCAGACAGACCGAACCGAGCAUCCACUUGAGCCCCUUCACCUAGGAGUACCAACAAGUGCGUCCAAAAUGGUUUCUUAGACUAUGGUGCAUUAGGUGCAAACUGUGCACCUAUCUUGCACCGAAACUAACAAUGUCUCCAAAUGGACCGAAUCGAGAUUCCAUAUGACACACGUCAUCAAGGAGUUCCAUCGGGUGCAUCGAAAUUGAUUUCCAAGCAUAUGGUAUGUUCCAUGCAAACCAUGCACCUACCUUGCAUAAGGAUUAGCACUAUCUCCAAACUGACCGAACCAAGCUUCCACUUGACCCAGUUCAAAGGAGUACCAAACAGUGCGUCCAAAAUGGUUUUUUAGACUAUGGUGCAUUAGGCGCAAACUAUGCACCUAUCUUGCACUAAAACUUACAAUGUCUACAAACGAACCGAAGCAAGAUUCCAUAUGACACAUGUCAUCAAGGAGUUCUAUUGUUUGUGUCCAAAUUAAUUUCUAAGCAUAUGGUAUGUUCCAUGCAGACCGUGCAUCUAUCUUGCAUCAAGUUUAUCACUAUCUCCAAACAGAUCAAACCGAGCUACCACUUGAUCCUCUUCACCGAACUACCAACAGGUGCUUCCAAAAUGGUUUCUUAAACUAUAGUGCAUUAGGCGCAAACCAUGCAUAUAUCUUGCACCGAAACUAACAUUGUUUCUAAAUAGAACAAAGCGAAAUUUCAUAUGACACAGGUCAUCAAGGAGUUCCAUCGGGUGCAUACAAAUUGAUUUCCAAGCAUAUGGUAUGUUCCAUGCAAACUGUGCACCUAUCUUGCAUCAAGAUUAGCACUAUCUCGAAACAGACCGAACCGAGCUUCCACUGGAGCCUCUUCAUCUAGGAGUACAAACAGUUGCAUCAAAAAUGGUUUCUUAGACUAUGGUGCAUUAGGCACAAACUAUGCACCUAUCUUACACCAAAACUAUCAUUGUCUCCAAACAGUCCGAAGCGAGAUUCUAUAUGGCACACGUCAUCUAGGAGUUCCUUUGGGUGUGUCCAAAUUGAUUUCUGAACAUAUGGUAUGUUCCAUGCAAACUGUGCAACUAUGUUGCAUCAAGAUUAGCACUAUAUCCGAACAGACCAAAUCGAGCCUCCACUUGAGCCUCUUCAACUACGAGUACAGUCGGGUGUGUCUAAAAUGGUUUCUUAGCCUAUAGUGCAUUAGGAGUAAACCAUGCACAUAUCUUAUACUAAAGCUAACACUGUCUCUAAACGAAUCGAAGCAAAAUUCCAUAUGACACACAUCAUCAAGGAGUUAUAUCAGUUGUGUCCUAAUUGAUUUCUAAGCAUAUCGUAUGUUCCAUCCAAACUGUGCAUCUAUCUUACAUCAAGAUUAGCACUAUCUCCAAACAGACCAAACCGAGCUUUCACUUGAGCCCCUUGACCUAGGAGUACCAUCGGGUGCGUCCAAAAUGGUUUCUUAUCCUAUGGUGCAUUAGGUGCAAACCGUGCACCUAUCUUGCACCGAAACUAACAUAGUCUCUAAACGGACCAAAGUGAGAUUCCAUAUGACACAUGUCAUCUAGGAGUUCCAUCUGGUGCAUCCAAAUAGAUUUCUGAGCAUAUGGUAUGUUCCAUGCAAAUCGUCCACCUAUCUUGCAUCAACAUUAGCAUUAUCUCUAAACAGACCGAACAGAGCCUCCACUUGAGCCUCUUCACCUAGGAGUACCAACAGGUGCCUCCAAAAUGAUUUUUUAGACAUUGGUGCAUUAGGCGCAAACCGUGCACAUAUCUUGCACCAAAACUAAUACUAUCUCUAGGCACACCAAAGCGAGAUUCCAUAUGACACAUGUCAUCAAGGAGUUCUAUUGGGUGUGUCCAUAUUAAUUUCUAAGCAUAUGGUACAUUCCAUGCAGAACGUGCAUCUAUCUUGCAUCAAGAUUAGCACUAUCUCCAAACAGAUCAAACCGAGCUUCCACUUGAGCCUCUUCACCGAAGUACCAACAGGUGCUUCCAAAAUGGUUUCUUAGACUAUGGUGCAUUAGGCGCAAACCAUGCACAUAUCUUGCACCGAAACUAACACUAUUUCUAAACAGACCAAAGAGAGAUUCCAUAUGAUACACAUCAUCAAGGAGUUCCAUCGGGUGCAUCCAAAUUGAUUUCCAAGCAUAUGGUAUGUUCCAUGCACCUGCCUUGCAUCAAGAUUAGCACUAUCUCCAAACAGACCGAACCGAGCAUCCACUUGAGCCCCUUCACCUAGGAGUACAAACAAGUGCGUCCAAAAUGGUUUCUUAGACUAUGGUGCAUUAGGUGCAAACUUGCACCUAUCUUGCACCGAAACUAACAAUGUCUUCAAAUGGACCAAAGCGAGAUUCCAUAUGACACACGUCAUCAAGGAGUUCUAUUGUUUGUGUCCAAAUUAAUUUCUAAGCAUAUGGUAUGUUCCAUGCAGACCGUGCAUCUAUCUUGCAUCAAGUUUAGCACUAUCUCCAAACAGAUCAAACCGAACUUCCACUUGAGCCUCUUCACCGAAUUACCAACAGGUGCUUCCAAAAUGGUUUCUAAAACUAUGGUGCAUUAGGCGCAAACCAUGCACAUAUCUUGCACCGAAACUAACACUGUUUCUAAACAGACCAAAGCGAGAUUUCAUAUGACACAGGUCAUCAAGGAGUUCCAUCGGGUGCAUACAAAUUGAUUUCCAAGCAUAUGGUAUAUUCCAUGCAAACCGUGUACCUAUCUUGCAUCAAGAUUAGCACUAUCUCCAAACAGACCGAACCGAGCUUCCACUUGAGCCUCUUGUCACACCCCAAAAUUUUUAGUUUUGGGUCGUGCAUAGAAAACACUAAUUAAAAUAAAUAUUUUGAUAUUUGGAUAAAAUUUCUAAUGUCACUUUAAAAAUAGCGUUAUUUAGUUAUAUGAAAUAUAUCACUCAUUAAAUUUUUCUAAAUUUAAUUGAAGGGUUUUUGCUUGAUGAGAUGUGAUGCUUGUUUGUUGUUUCACUUUGUGUUGUGAGUGGGUAGAGUAUUAGGGCGUGCUUAAUAAGUCGUUGAUCUAUAUCCGGCGUGUCUCUAUAUUUUUCUUUAAUCAAGUCUCUUGUUUCUUAAUCUUAAUCUUUUCAUCUAAAGUUUUCCAUAUCGUCUUAUUCUACUCUAAAUCGUUCCUUUGAGUUCAUUUUCUAUCAACCGGCCUAUUAAAACUUCUCGGUAAUUCUUCCGUCAUUUUGGGAAUUCUUUCUCGCUUUUCUAUGAGCAUAAAUCUAAUUUUUAGAUGCUUCUAGAUAUCUUUUCAGGAGCCCUAAAUACUUUAUUUGGGUUCUUCAUGUUCUAAAAUGUCUCUAAGAAUUUUCUUUAAAUAUUUGGAGCCUUCAGAGUAUUUUUCGGGACAUAAAAAUCAAUUCUGGAACUUCUAGAAUUAUUUUAAUCUUGAAAUUCAUUAAUUCCGAAAAUAGUGGAAUAUGCCUUUUUAAUACUCAAUGCCCAUGUGAAAUAAUUCUUAUAAAUCUUAAAGAGCCAGACACGAGAUUAAAAGAAUUAGGGUUUCAUCCUAUUCAUCGUGCCGCCGCCGCGGUGUAGUAUCAAUCUGUCGUUCAACGAUUUCCAGCGCCGCCGCCGGCCGAGUCAUUCGACAUCGAUUGUGUUGAUCGGUGCGUGUUGAUUUUGAAUCGGUGGCGGUGUCUAAUCCAUACAAAAGCUGCUCAAUCACGUGGAGGUCCACAACGUGAUCAGCUUCCAAAUCUUGGAGUUCGACCAUGGCACAAUAUCAAAGUUCUGUGAGCUUUCAUCUUUUAUUUUUCCAAUUUUCCUUUCUCUCUAGUCGGAUGAUACUUCGGUGUUUAUAUUUUUUUUCCUUCUGUGUUGAACUGCCGGUGCUGUCAUCUUGCAAAUCGCCAAGGCCUACUCCCUGUUGCUUGACGUUGAGCAUCAAUCGUCGUGUGCCUCUUGUACACGAUCAGCAAGACAAGCCGCCGCCUGUCACAGCGUGGCUACAGGCCGGCACAGCCCCUGAAGGACCCGCGUGAGCCGGUGUGCCAUCGCUGAACGGCAAACAGGUCCGAGCCGAAGCCUUUUCUUCCCAGCCGAGCUCUUCCUACAUCUGUCUCCGAAGGUUUCCAAGUACGUACAGACAACUCAACUCGAGGUAGAAGACGAAGUAAUUACAGUUAUGUCAUUCAUCUUAUAAUCCCUGCCGUUUAUUCGUUUUACGUCCGAUUCGAGUUGUUCUAGUUGCUUUGGAUUCGUAUUGUCAUGCUCUAUGCAGUAAUAUAAAAGUUUAGUACGUAACUCAAUUCUGAAGUUAUUGGUUAAAAUGUAAUUAGUUUAAUAUGUAUAUAAUAGCUUUCCAAAUAAAAGGAACAUGUGUUUGUACUUCGUUCUUUUAUAAAUUAAUGUUAAUCUAAUUAAUGUCAAUCUUAAUAUCUUUUGAAUUAUAAGAUGCUUAGUUCAACCUUGAAACAUGAGUGCUUCAAUUUAGUUGUCACAUGAUUAUGUGUUUGUAAUUAGAUAUUAAUUUGACUAAUGUGUAAUGAAGCUAGUUUUUUUUAUUAAAAAUUAACAUAAGUCAUGCAUUUCGGUUUUACAUAUGUAAUCUAAUAAAUGUUAAUAUAUUAACUACCUACAGAAAUAUAUUUUUGAACUUGUAAUUUGCUUAGCCUGAAGCCCUGAACAAUGUCACGUAUAAUAUGUUUAGAAGCUCUCACGUGUCUCUUUCUUUUACCUUGUUAAAGUCUAACUUAAUUAAAUUAAGUGUCAAUAUUUAUAAAUAAAUAGUUUAAGUUUGGAAUUAGAACUUUUCUCUUUGUUUUCCAUAAUUAGAAUAAAUAAGCACACAAUCUUGUUUUCUUUCUGUUACAAUAUAGUCUCGAUAAUAGUUUCUUUAUAAUGAUAGUUCCUUUAUCGUUAUGUCUUGCGCUCUCGUGACCGUAGUAACUAGUUAUCCUUUAGUACAUUGUUCUCUCUUGUGUGGUGUACUGUUCUUAGUUUCUUUUAUUUGUUGCUUUGUAUGGUUGCCUAUGCGUGGUGCUUGAUGCGAGUAGACGAGAACUGUUUGUGGGCAUUGAAGAUCAUAAGAUGAUGACAGAAAGCUGAUGAUGUGAGGAGUAAGCAAGUGUUUAAGGCAAGUAUAACUUGGGAUCAUCCUUGUUACCUAUUCACUUAUAACUACACAUAUAUAUCAUAUGCAUGCUAUCACCUUGUCGACCUUAGCAAAAUCAUAGAUGUUUGUUAUCCUGGAUUCCUUGCUACCUACUUGAUAUGCAUUUGGUGUAGAUGUGCUAGUGCUUGAUAUAAUCCAUGAUCUUGUAAGAGGAUUAAUAGCUAUGCAAUGAACGUUAAAAGAUGACAAAUAACUAUAUGAGAUCUUGUCUGUAAGUGAUCACCGGGACAACAGUGCAACCAUGAGGGCUAUAAUGGCUCUGGCUUUAGCUCAGUAUGAAGACCUUUUCUAGCUUGUUAGAGGUUACCCGAAAGGGCGGAGGGGCUGAACCGACACGGGUAUAGUGCGAGCCCCUGUCCCUAUGUGUAUAGGCUGCGCGUCAUUGUGCCAUUCGGAAGGGGGGUAUCUAUAUCUGCUUGCAAAGGAAACCUUGCGGCCCUAACAUGUUAGACGAACUUUUGAAAGGCUUCAUAGUGAUCCCUACCGACCUUCCUUGGGAGUGGGUUAAGAGGCUGAUCACCUCGGGCGAAAGGGUAAAUCAUGACUCAUGGGUAAAGAUGUACAACCUCUGCAGAGUGUUAAAACUAGUAUACUAGCCGUGCUCACGGUUAAGAGCGGCCUUGGGGGUUCUUGCUGAGACGACGAUGAGCUUGUUAAGUUGUUAUGUUCAUUUGAUUAUCGUUUAUGCUAAGAAUUAAUUAUGCUUACACUUGAUCAUGUGAUUAAUAGAUUAUUACUGCUUCCUUGACAAUUGCUAUUAAAUUAUGAACAUGCUCUCCACUAUUAAAAGCUAAAUGCAGUUAAACCAGUGUCAGCCAUUUGAACCUCAUGAACCCCUGGUUAUACUUGUUGAGUACGAUAUGUGCUCACUCUUGCUAUUUCCCACCACUCCAGUUUACUAGUAAGAGUUGAUGAGGACAGCGAUGGAAUCAUGAAGGAUGUUCUCAGAAUACAAUAAGUGCUAGGCAUAUGUUACCCCCAGUCAGCCGUCCCUAUGAAGAUUGAGCCUGAAGAUUAGUUAUUGUGUUACGAUUCUCUUAUGUAAGUGUUAAUUAUAAGUAUGUUUCCGCUAUAUAACACUGUUUUUGAUAUUAUUGCUUUUGUUGUUGUAUGUGUGGACUUCCUGGGCACACAUAUGGCUAGCCUGGUUUUGUUCUUUAAAACCGGCUGUGACAGAGUGGUAUCAAAGCAGUGUUGACUGUAGGACGUAUGCCUAGGUAGCACUGGUCGAUUAGAAAAGUCUAAUUUCCUACAAAACUAUUUUCUUAUCCCUUGACUUUUGAUUUUGGUUAUUUCUCAAUCCUUGUCUCAUUGUAUCCCCUCCUUGAAUAGCUUCCUUUGAGCUAUUUCUAUUUAUCACCUUGGCCUUUAUUUACUUAUUUUACUUAACUUUUCGAAACUUGCUUUAUUCAAAAUUCGAUGGCCUUUCGUUAUCUCUAACCCGCCCUUUAUGAUGACCACCAUUAUUGAAAAAAACACAUAUAGAAUCAAUGAUGUGUUGUGUGCUUGUCUUGUUGUGUGAUGCUUGUGCGUCGUCUCUGUUCUUGUGAUACAAAGGAGCCUGAAAGAUACUAUCUUUAGAAGUAGCUCAAUCUUGUUAAGUGGGGUAGCGUCCGCUACCGUCAUCUAAGUAUCUCAAGUUUCGAGACAUGAAGACCUAAUGAUCAAUCUUAUCCUUCUUGUAUAUCUCUUUCUUGUAUAUCAAACUUUAUCUUUUCUAUCAUCAAUCUUCAUCUACUUAUGCUCUUUUGUUAUUCUUUGCCCCUUGAUUGUUUACCUUAUAAUAUAAUGAUCUAAAGGUCAACUUCACCUUUCCAGUGUACUUUUCUUAUCAUCGAUCCUUCUGUUCUUGUGACAAACCAUUAUUCUCUAGUGAACCCUUGUUAAUCCACAGUCAUUUUAUCAUCUCUCACCAUAGAGCUUGAAAUAACCUUGAAGAACCAAUCUUCAUUUCCCUUCUCAAUCCUUGCUAAUUUAUAAUCUUUUAUCAUAAAUCUCAUAAAUCUCGAAAUCAAGGAAUUCUGAGCACUAUAAGAUGUAUCUUUAUCUUUCAGUCCUAAUCUUUAAACCUCAUAAUGUGAAGACGCGGUGAUCAACCUUUGUCUGUCUUUCUAACCUUCAUUGAUCUUUCUUUUUCACUUAUGCUGAUCUUCAAUACUUUAGUCUCGUGUCAUACAUCCCGAAUUAAUCUUGAGGACUAGUCUUUGACAUCUUUAUCAACUUUUGUUAAUCCUUGAUCCCUAAAUCAUAUCUCGCCAAAAGACACAAAACAACCUUGAUGACCAACUUUAUCAUUAUCUCUAGUCUCUUCGAAUCUUGGGACGAGAUUCUUGUUAAGUGGGGUAGAAUUGUCACACCCCAAAAUUUUUAGUUUUGGGUCGUGCAUAGAAAACACUAAUUAAAAUAAAUAUUUUGAUAUUUGGAUAAAAUUUCUAAUGUCACUUUAAAAAUAGCGUCAUUUAGUUAUAUGAAAUAUAUCACUCUUUAAAUUUUUCUAAAUUUAAUUGAAGGGUUUUUGCUUGAUGAGAUGUUAUGCUUGUUUGUUGUUUCACUUUGUGUUGUGAGUGGGUAGAGUAUUAGAGCGUGCUUAAUAAGUCGUUGAUCUAUAUCCGGCGUGUCUCUAUAUUUUUCUUUAAUCAAGUCUCUUGUUUCUUAAUCUUAAUCUUUUCAUCUAAAGUUUUCCAUAUUGUCUUAUUCUACUCUAAAUCGUUCCUUUGAGUUCAUUUUCUAUCAACCGUCCUAUUAAAACUUCUCGGUAAUUCUUCCGUCAUUUUGGGAAUUCUUUCUCGCUUUUCUAUGAGCAUAAAUCUAAUUUUUAGAUGCUCCUAGAUAUCUUUUCAGGAGCCCUAAAUACUUUAUUUAGGUUCUUCAUGUUCUAAAAUGUCUCUAAGAAUUUUCUUUAAAUAUUUGGAGCCUUUAGAGUAUUUUUCGAGACAUAAAAAUCAAUUCUGGAGUUUUCUAGAAUUAUUUUAAUCUUGAAAUUCAUUAAUUCCGAAAAUAGUGGAAUAUGUCUUUUUAAUACUCAAUGCCCAUGUGAAAUAAUUCUUAUAAAUCUUAAAGAGCCGGACACGAGAUUAAAAGAAUUAGGGUUUCAUCCUAUUCAUCGUGCCGCCGCCGCGGUGUAGUAUCAAUCUGUCGUUCAACGAUUUCCAGCGCCGCCGCCGGCCGAGUCAUUCGACAUCGAUUGUGUUGAUCGGUGCAUGUUGAUUUUGAAUCGGUGGCAGUGUCUAAUCCAUACAAAAGCUGCUCAAUCACGUGGAGGUCCACAACAUGAUCAGCUUCCAAAUCUUGGAGUUCGACCAUGGCACAAUAUCAAAGUUCCGUGAGCUUUCAUCUUUUAUUUUUCCAAUUUUCCUUUCUCUCUAGUCGGAUGAUACUUCGGUGUUUAUAUUUUUUUUCCUUCUGUGUUGAACUGCCGGUGCUGUCAUCUUGCAAAUCGCCAAGGCCUACUCCCUGUUGCUUGACGUUGAGCAUCAAUCGUCGUGUGCCUCUUGUACACGAUCAGCAAGACAAGCCGCCGCCUAUCACAGCGUGGCUACAGGCCGGCACUGCCCCUGAAGGACCCGCGUGAGCCGGUGUGCCAUCACUGAACGGCAAACAGGUCCGAGCCGAAGCCUUUUCCUCCCAGUCGAGCUCUUCCUACAUCUGUCUCCGAAGGUUUCCAAGUACGUACAGACAACUCAACUCGAGGUAGAAGACGAAGUAAUUACAGUUAUGUCAUUCAUCUUAUAAUCCCUGCCGUUUAUUCGUUUUACGUCUGAUUCGAGUUGUUCUAGUUGCUUUAGAUUCGUAUUGUCAUGCUCUACGCAGUAAUAUAAAAGUUUAGUAUGUAACUCAAUUCUGAAUUUAUUGGUUAAAAUGUAAUUAGUUUAAUAUGUAUAUAAUAGCUUUCCAAAUAAAAGCAACAUGUGUUUGUACUUCGUUCUUUUAUAAAUUAAUGUUAAUCUAAUUAAUGUCAAUCUUAAUAUCUUUUGAAUUAUAAGAUGCUUAGUUCAACCUUGAAACAUGAGUGCUUCAAUUUAGUUGUCACAUGAUUAUGUGUUUGUAAUUAGAUAUUAAUUUGACUAAUGUGUAAUGAAGCUAGUUUUUUUUAUUAAAAAUUAACAUAAGUCAUGCAUUUCGGUUUUACAUAUGUAAUCUAAUAAAUGUUAAUAUAUUAACUACCUACAGAAAUAUAUUUUUGAACUUGUAAUUUGCUUAGCCUAAAGCCCUAAACAAUGUCACGUAUAAUAUGUUUAGAAGCUCUCACGUGUUUCUUUCUUUUACCUUGUUAAAGUCUAACUUAAUUAAAUUAAGUGUCAAUAUUUAUAAAUAAAUAGUUUAAGUUUGGAAUUAGAACUUUUCACUUUGUUUUCCAUAAUUAGAAUAAAUAAGCACACAAUCUUCUUUUCUUUUUGUUACAAUAUAGUCUCGAUAAUAGUUUCUUUAUAAUGAUAGUUCUUUUAUCGUUAUGUCUUGCGCUCUCGUGACCGUAGUAACUAGUUAUCUUUUAGUACAUUGUUCUCUCUUGUGUGGUGUACUGUUCUUAGUUUCUUUUAUUUGUUGCUUUGUAUGUUUGCCUAUGCGUGGUGCUUGAUGCGAGUAGACGAGAACUGUUUGUGGGCAUUGAAGAUCAUAAGAUGAUGACAGAAAGCUGAUGAUGUGAGGAGUAAGCAAUUGUUUAAGGCAAGUAUAACUUGGGAUCAUCCUUGUUACCUAUUCACUUAUAACUACACAUAUAUAUCAUAUGCAUGCUAUCACCUUGUCGACCUUAGCAAAAUCAUAGAUGUUUGUUAUCCUGGAUUCCUUGCUACCUACUUGAUAUGCAUUUGGUGUAGAUGUGCUAGUGCUUGAUAUAAUCCAUGAUCUUGUAAGAGGAUUAAUAGCUAUGCAAUGAACGUUAAAAGAUGACAAAUAACUAUAUGAGAUAUUGUCUGUAAGUGAUCACCGGGACAACAGUGCAACCAUGAGGGCUAUAAUGGCUCUGGCUUUAGCUCAGUAUGAAGACCUUUUCUAGCUUGUUAGAGGUUACCCGAAAGGGCGGAGGGGCUGAACCGACACGGGUAUAGUGCGAGCCCCUGUCCCUAUGUGUAUAGGCUGCGCGUCAUUGUGCCAUUCGGAAGGGGGGUAUCUAUAUCUGCUCGCAAAGGAAACCUUGCGGCCCUAACAUGUUAGACGAACUUUUGAAAGGCUUCAUAGUGAUCCCUGCCGACCUUCUUCGGGAGUGGGUUAAGAGGCUGAUCACCUCGGGCGAAAGGGUAAAUCAUGACUCAUGGGUAAAGAUGUACAACCUCUGCAGUGUGUUAAAACUAGUAUACUAGCCGUGCUCACGGUUAAGAGCGGCCUUGGGGGUUCUUGCUGCGACGACGAUGAGCUUGUUAAGUUGUUAUGUUCAUUUGAUUAUUGUUUAUGCUAAGAAUUAAUUAUGCUUACACUUGAUCAUGUGAUUAAUGGAUUAUUACUGCUACCUUGACAAUUGCUAUUAAAUUAUGAACAUGCUCUCCACUAUUAAAAGCUAAAUGCAGUUAAACCAGUGUCAGCCAUUUGAGCCUCAUGAACCCCUGGUUAUACUUGUUGAGUACGAUAUGUGCUCACUCUUGCUGUUUCCCACCACUCCAGUUUACUAGUAAGAGUUGAUGAGGACAGUGAUGGAAUCAUGAAGGAUGUUCUCAGAAUACAAGAAGUCCUAGGCAUAUGUUACCCCCAGUCAGCCGUCCCUGUGAAGAUUGAGCCAGAAGAUUGGUUAUUGUGUUACGAUUCUCUUAUGUAAGUGUUAAUUAUAAGUAUGUUUCCGCUAUAUAACACUGUUUUUGAUAUUAUUGCUUCUGUUGAUGUAUGUGUGGACUUCCUGGGCACACAUAUGGCAAGCCUGGUUUUGUUCUUUAAAACCGGGUGUGACACCUCUUCAUCUAGGAGUACAAACAGUUGUAUCAAAAAUGGUUUCUUAGACUAUGGUGCAUUAGGCACAAACUAUGCACCUAUCUUGCACCAAAACUAACAUUGUCUCCAAACAGACCGAAGCGAGAUUCCAUAUGACACACGUCAUCUAGGAGUUCCUUUGGGUGUGUCCAAAUUGAUUUCUUAACAUAUGGUACGUUCCAUGCAAACUGUGCAACUAUGUUGCAUCAAGAUUAGCACUAUAUCCGGACGGACCAAAUCGAGCCUCCACUUGAGCCUCUUCAACUACGAGUACCAUCGGGUGUGUCUAAAAUGGUUUCUUAGCCUAUGGUGCAUUAGGCGUAAACCGUGCACAUAUCUUAUACCAAAGCUAACACUGUCUCUAAACGAAUCGAAGUAAGAUUCCAUAUGACACACAUCAUCAAGGAGUUAUAUCAGGUGUGUCCUAAUUGAUUUCUGAGCAUAUCGUAUGUUCCAUGCAAGUCGUGCAUCUAUCUUGCAUCAAGAUUAGCAUUGUCUCCAAACAGACCAAACCGAGCUUUCACUUGAGCCCCUUGACCUAGGAGUACCAUCGGGUGCGUCCAAAAUGGUUUCUUAUCCUAUGGUGCAUUAGGUGCAAACCGUGCACCUUUCUUGCACCAAAACUAACACAGUCUCUAAACAGACCGAAGUGAGAUUCCAUAUGACACAUGUCAUCUAGGAGUUCCAUCUGGUGCACCCAAAUAGAUUUCUGAGCAUAUGGUAUGUUCCAUGCAGAUCGUGCACCUAUCUUGCAUCAACAUUAGCAUUAUCUCUAAACAGACCGAACAGAGCCCCCACUUGAGCCUCUUCACCUAGGAGUACCAACAGGUGCUUCCAAAAUGGUUUUUAGACUUUGGUGCAUUAGGCGCAAACCGUGCACAUAUCUUGCACCGAAAUCAAUACUAUCUCUAAGCACACCAAAGCGAGAUUCCAUAUGACACACGUCAUCAAGGAGUUCUAUCGGGUGUGUCCAAAUUAAUUUCUAAGCAUAUGGUAUAUUCCAUGCAGACCGUGCAUCUAUCUUGCAUCAAGAUUAGCACAAUCUCCAAACAGAUCAAACCGAGCUUCCACUUAAGCCUCUUCACCGAAGUACCAACACGUGCUUCCAAAAUGGUUUCUUAGACUACGGUGCAUUAGGCGCAAACCAUGCACAUAUCUUGCACCAAAACUAACACUGUUUCUAAACAGAUCAAAGAGGGAUUCCAUAUGAUACACAUCAUCAAGGAGUUCCAUCGGGUGCAUCCAAAUUGAUUUCCAAGCAUAUGGUAUGUUCCAUGCACCUACCUUGCAUCAAGGUUAGCACUAUCUCCAAACAGAUCGAACCGUGCAUCCACUUGAGCCCCUUCACCUAGGAGUACCAACAAGUGCGUCCAAAAUGGUUUCUUAGACUAUGGUGCAUUAGGUGCAAACUGUGCACCUAUCUUGCACCGAAACUAACAAUGUCUCCAAAUGGACCGAAGCGAGAUUCCAUAUGACACACGUCAUCAAGGAGUUCCAUCGAGUGCAUCGAAAUUGAUUUCCAAGCAUAUGGUAUGUUCCAUACAAACCAUGCACCUACCUUGCAUAAGGAUUAGCACUAUCUCCAAACUGACCGAACCAAGCUUCCACUUGAGCCUCUUCACCAAGGAGUACCAAACAGUGCAUCCAAAAUGGUUUCCUAGACUAUGGUGCAUUAGGCGCAAACUGUGCACCUAUCUUGCACUAAAACUUACAAUGUCUACAAACGAACCGAAGCAAGAUUCCAUAUGACACACGUCAUCAAGGAGUUCUAUAGUUUGUGUCCAAAUUAAUUUCUAAGCAUAUGGUAUGUUCCAUGCAGACCGUGCAUCUAACUUGCAUCAAGUUUAGCACUAUCUCUAAACAGAUCAAACCGAGCUUCCACUUGAGCCUCUUCACCGAACUACCAACAAGUGCUUCCAAAAUGGUUUCUUAAACUAUGGUGCAUUAGGCGCAAACCAUGCACAUAUCUUGCAUCAAAACUAACACUAUUUCUAAACAGACCAAAGCGAGAUUCCAUAUGACACAGGUCAUCAAGGAGUUCCAUCGGGUGCAUACAAAUUGAUUUCCAAGCAUAUGGUAUGUUCCAUGCAAAUCGUGCACCUAUCUUGCAUCAAGAUUAGCACUAUCUCCAAACAGACUGAACCGAGCUUCCACUUGA
rnacentral:lncRNA from 1 species